rnacentral:rRNA from 1 species
UACGUAGGGUGCGAGCGUUGUCCGGAAUUACUGGGCGUAAAGAGCUCGUAGGCGGUUUGUCGCGUUGUUCGUGAAAACUCACAGCUCAACUGUGGGCGUGCGGGCGAUACGGGCAGACUGGAGUACUGCAGGGGAGACUGGAAUUCCUGGUGUAGCGGUGGAAUGCGCAGAUAUCAGGAGGAACACCGGUGGCGAAGGCGGGUCUCUGGGCCGAUACUGACGCUGAGGAGCGAAAGCGUGGGGAGCGAACAGG